UUCAGACCUAUGGGAGAGCGUGUCGCCCAGCACCGUUACACGGACUGGAGCACCGCCGAAGGCGCAACACCCGCAACCGCUCAGGCACAAGGAACCGUGGGGACAGG
rnacentral:ncRNA from 2 species